rnacentral:rRNA from 1 species
UGGGGAAUAUUGCACAAUGGGCGAAAGCCUGAUGCAGCGACGCCGCGUGAGGGAUGACGGCCUUCGGGUUGUAAACCUCUUUCAGCAGGGAAGAAGCGAAAGUGACGGUACCUGCAGAAGAAGCGCCGGCUAACUACGUGCCAGCAGCCGCGGUAAUACGUAGGGCGCAAGCGUUGUCCGGAAUUAUUGGGCGUAAAGAGCUCGUAGGCGGUUAGUCGCGUCUGCUGUGAAAACUCGAGGCUCAACCUCGGGCUUGCAGUGGGUACGGGCUGACUAGAGUGCGGUAGGGGAUGACUGGAAUUCCUGGUGUAGCGGUGGAAUGCGCAGAUAUCAGGAGGAACACCGAUGGCGAAGGCAGGUCACUGGGCCGCAACUGACGCUGAGGAGCGAAAGCAU